GAUGAAGAACGCAGCGAAAUGCGAUACUUGGUGUGAAUUGCAGAAUCCCGUGAACCAUCGAGUCUUUGAACGCAAGUUGCGCCCGAAGCCACUAGGCCGAGGGCACGCCUGCCUGGGCGUCACACGCCGUUGCCCCCCCAUCUACUCCUUCGGGAUUGCGGGGGGGCGGAUGAUGGCCUCCUGUGCGCCUAGCCGCGCGGUUGGCAUAAAUACCAAGUCCUCGGAGACGCACGCCACGACAAUCGGUGGUUGCGAAACCUCGGUUGCCCGUCGUGUGCGUUCGUCGCGCAUCGAGGGCUCGAAAAAAUGCUCGGCUCCGGCUGGGCUUUCAACGCGACCCCAGGUCAGGCGGGGUUACCCGCUGAAUUUAAGCAUACAAUAAGCGGAGGA
rnacentral:misc_RNA from 1 species